rnacentral:rRNA from 1 species
AUGCUAGCAAAGCAGUGUUGGCGACUGAUCCACAAUCCUGACUCUUUGUGUGCACAGGUUUUAGGUGCAAAAUACUAUCCGGAUGGUAAUAUCCUGCGUGCUAGACUGAAGAAAGGUUCCUCGUUCACAUGGCAAAGUAUCUUUGCGGGGAUACAAACGUUCAAGCGGGGGUGUAUUUGGAGGGUGGGUACGGGCUCACAGAUCAAUAUCUGGGAGGACCCAUGGAUUCCAUCAAGCCCGACCAGGAAAGUAAUUACCCCUCAAGGGGGAGUCAUGUUGUCAAAAGUGCAAGAUAUAAUUGACCCACAUACGGGUCAGUGGGAUGAGGCACUUAUUCAGAGUGUGUUCUCACCAGUUGAUGUAAGCAGAAUAUUACAAAUCCCACUCCAAGUUGAAGUUACAGAAGAUCUUGUGGCAUGGCAAUUCACCAAGUCUGGAACAUUUUCAGUACGCUCGGCUUAUUAUGUGGAGUUUGAUCACCAGUUCGGUCGGCAUUACAGAGAAGUUAAUAGUCCAGGAACUGCUCAGCUAAACGGGGUCUGGAAGGAGGUUUGGCGCCUCCGAUUACCGGGGAAGAUUAAGCACUUUGGUUGGAAAGUGCUUAAAGGAGUAUUACCGUGCUACGGUGUGCUAGCGGACAGACAUAUUCCCUUGAUCCCACAAUGCCCAAUAUGCAAGGUUGGCUUGGAAGAUAUCCAGCACUGUUUAUUCACAUGUGAGAGAGCUCGACUUGUGUGGGCAUCUCUAGGACUAACAGAGGAGAUUGAUAAUGCUGUUAUAGAGGACCGGUCCGGCUCUGUUAAUUUGGACAUAUUGAUCCGAAUACAGAAACUAGUAGGGGAUAUUCCAAUGGCCGAGCUGAUUCUUGUUACUAUGUGGUACAUAUGGUGGCAGCGGAGGCAAGUAACGAAAGGGGAGACAGUGACGACCCCGGAACAGACAACUAUCUCAAUACGAGUUCUCGCUACCAACUUUGUUCGAGCAAAUACACCAAAAGUGGCCACCCGCAAGAAAGAUCAAUUGUGGAAAAACCAGGUAGUGGAGUUAUAA